GACGAACGCUGGCGGCGUGCUUAACACAUGCAAGUCGAGCGGAAAGGCCACUUCGGUGGUACUCGAGCGGCGAACGGGUGAGUAACACGUGAGUAAUCUGCCCCUCACUUUGGGAUAGCCACCGGAAACGGUGAUUAAUACCGGAUAUGACCAUAUGUCGCAUGGCGUGUGGUGGAAAGUUUUUCGGUGAGGGAUGUGCUCGCGGCCUAUCAGCUUGAUGGUGAGGUAAUGGCUCACCAUGGCUUCGACGGGUAGCCGGCCUGAGAGGGUGACCGGUCACACUGGGACUGAGAGACGGCCCAGACUCCUACGGGAGGCAGCAGUGGGGAAUAUUGGACAAUGGGCGGAAGCCUGAUCCAGCAACGCCGCGUGAGGGAUGACGGCCUUCGGGUUGUAAACCUCUUUCAGUACCGACGAAGCGCAAGUGACGGUAGGUACAGAAGAAGCACCGGCCAACUACGUG
rnacentral:rRNA from 1 species